rnacentral:lncRNA from 1 species
GCAAGACUUGAAGCUUAGUACUGAUGCAUGUCUGUUCAAGUGGUUGGUAGGCUUCUCUAACUAAGCUAAAAGUCCUGAUAAUUUUCUUCCCACAGAGCAUCUGUAGUAUACUCUGAGGAUUCCCUGGUUCCUGCAGCUUGAUCAAAUUGAGAGAGAGCGAUAUCUUCUAAACACUAAAAAAACAGCAUAACUGAAUUUUACAUCUUUCUUCAAUAAUAGCAGUAAAAGGUCCUGAACCGGUGCUCCAGACUUCGGAGUAUUCAAAAUCUAAACACAGCUCCAUAAGAAAAAGAUCUUGCUUUUUUUGAUGGAUGAACCAGAAACCUGGAUGAGAACGUAACAGAUUUCAGGAUGUUCAGAAUCCAAGAUUCAUACCUUGAGACUUGAUCCCACAUCCAACAAAAAAUGGGGAUGAGUAUUCAAUCCAGAGGCUUCUCUUUGCAAAGGCCAAGAAACACAGUCAUGUUGACAGCAGCGACGUGUACUUGGGAACCACAAAGUCAAGAGGGUACUUUAGGGCUACCUGACAGCGCGUGGACCUCUUAUUUGCAGAUGUAAUUUCAGACUCAUGACCUCCAGUUCCUUUAUACUGUCCUGCUAAAUCUGAGCUUU